UGAUAGCAAUGAAGCGCGAGGUUGCCGCCGGAAAGAGGCGGGUUUUCCGUGGAGCGAAUGUCAAGUUUAGAAACUGGCGACAA
rnacentral:ncRNA from 1 species